rnacentral:rRNA from 1 species
GAUGAACGCUGGCGGCGUGCCUAAUACAUGCAAGUCGAACGGACGGACGAUAAGCUUGCUUCUCUGAUGUUAGCGGCGGACGGGUGAGUAACACGUGGAUAACCUACCUAUCAGACUGGGAUAACUUCGGGAAACCGGAGCUAAUACCGGAUAAUCUUUUGAUCCGCAUGGUUCAAUAGUGAAAGACGGUCUUGCUGUCACUUAUCGCUGGAUCCGCGCUGCAUUAGCUAGUUGGUAAGGUAACGGCUUACCAAGGCAACGAUGCAUAGCCGACCUGAGAGGGUGAUCGGCCACACGGGAACUGGGACACGGUCCUGACUCCUGCGGGAGGCAGCAGUAGGGAAUCUGCCGCAAUGGGCGAAAGCCUGACGGAGCAGCGCCGCGUGAGUGAUGAAGGUCUUCGGAUCGGAAAACUCUGUUAUUAGGGAAGAACAUAUGUGUAAGUAGCUGUGCACAUCGUGACGGUACCGAAUCAGAAAGCCACGGCUAACUACGUG